GUUCUCAAUGAUGUUACUUAUACCAUGCUAAUGCUGAUAAGUCAUGAUUAUAAUUAAUAUCAAUUGACUGAGGGAACU